rnacentral:misc_RNA from 1 species
AACGUAGGACGCAAGCGUUAUCCGGAGUUACUGGGCGUAAAGGGCGGGCAGGCGGUCGGUCAAGUCGGACGUGAAAGCUCCUGGCUUAACUGGGAGAGGCCGUUCGAAACUGGCCGACUGGAGGGCGGUAGAGGAGCGUGGAAUUCCGGGUGGAGUGGUGAAAUGCGUAGAGAUCCGGAGGAACACCAGAGGCGAAGGCGGCGCUCUGGGCCGCACCUGACGCUGAACCGCGAAAGCCAGGGGAGCGAACGGG